AGGAUUUUUGACGGACGACCUUUUCACGGCUGAAGAUAACGGCAACCAGAAGAAAUACCUUGGCGUGUGCAAGUUGCCAGGAGAGAACAGCAAGCAUUGACGCCUGGAUAUCAUCGUUGUGCCAUACGACGAAGACGCAUGCGCGCUGGUAUACUUCACAGGCUCCGCCCAUUUCAAUCGCUCGUUGCGUCAUCUGGUGAAGAAGAUGGGAAUGUCAUUGUCCGAGAAUUCCUUGAAUGUUGGCGUCGUCAGGAAUGGGACAGAAAAGAUCUACGAAGGUACCCCAGUGCCAACCCCACGGAAAAAUCGGUGUUU